ensembl:lncRNA
CCCGGCCACCGCCGGGGUCAGGCCCGGCCCCACCAGGCUGCGCGGGCCGCGGCGGAGCGGGGCCGGCCCGAGCGGGGCCCAGUUACCUCUCCAAGGCCAGAAACGAGAGAGAGAUUCCCCGGGCUUGCAGACCUACCUUCUAAAUGGUUUAAUAGGUUUUCAGUUCUCAGAGCUAGCCAGCUAUUGGUUUCUGCCCGGCACAGAGGAAGCUGUUAGCAGCUUCUCUCAGAAAAUUCAUUUCCAUGGGUGCCUUUGUCCAUCCACACCAAAUGUCAAUUAAUGCGAAACCAACACACACACGAAGAAAAGCCAAAAAGGUGGAGGUUUUGUACAGUUUUAAAGAAUUCCACUUCAAUUUGCAUUGCAGAUAUGAAGAGUUGAGAAAUAGAAGUGGUAGGAGUCCCAGUCAUCUAACUGAUUUGUAAUCUUUUAGCCAGAAGAAGGCAUUCUUCCAUCUUUCUCACUAAGAUCUUCAGGGAUUAGCUCCAUUUCAGGGGUAUGAAAACUGAUUUGAUAGAAAACCAGGUCCACAUUCCAUUUCCACAGAGUAAAUUCAGGAUCAUACAUUCUAUUCAUGAAGAAAAGACAAAAACAUCACCUCUGAUAUUCUACUCCUGUCAUCACAUCUGUAAAAGCAGAUUAGGAACACUUUGCUUUUGCAAAUUAAAUGCAAACCUGCUAGCUGCAGAAGGAACAUUGCACUAGAGCAUCAGACCUAUUGUCCACAGAAGGGAUCUUCAGUUAAUGUUCAACAUCACAGAAUACCAUCAAGGAAGAUCAGGAUGUCUUUCUCUCCCCUCUGGAGCUCUCGAUCCCUGUCCCAGAGAUGACCUAACAGGACAAGCCUGGACCAAUCCUGGACCAAUCCUUGGCCUUCCCCUUGGACUUCCCCAUGGAGAUACCCAGUUCCCCCAGCUGAUUCCUGGACUGCUCUGUGCCCUGGCUGGGAGCAGGCAGAGCAGACACUUCCAGCCAGGCUCCAUCCCACUGGCUUUGACUUUUGACAGUGGGAUUAGCCAUGGAGCCCGGUACUGACAUUCUAUGAGGAGGUCCCUUCACACCAGGUUCCAGGGCCAGGAGAGACACCAGCCCUCACGGUGCCCUGAUACAUGAUAACAAGCUUUAGCUUUUACCCAGUGAUGUUCUGACCAGAGUGGACUAAUAUUUUAGUUCUUUAUACAUAUUCCAUUUUAGUAACAAAUGGUACAUAAUACAUUUUAUUUUAUGAUGUAAAUAAGUGCUUGCAAUGCAUACCUUUUUUAUGUACAGCAUUUUUGCACUGCUUUCAACAUGAAGCUAAACUAAUCUGUUUGGAUGUCAAGUAUCUCAUUGUGGUUUCUUUUGCUGAUCUGUACCUAAUGUGUGCUAGGCAGAAUUCCUCAUACCAGGUCAUUCAAGGGAUGUAAGUCAGACACCAAGGAAUAUCAAAAGAGUUGGUUGGUUCUAUUUUAUCACUUCUUAGACACGUGGUGCUGUUCAUGGGUUAGCCAUGUUGGAUCCUGAAUUAGACUGAAAUUAUAAUCAUAGUCUAUCCUGUAAUCCUACCAUCCAUGGCACAGUACAGAUAGUAUCCUAUUAUUAGUUACUACCCUGGACUUUUCUGAUCAAAAUUAUGUGAGGAGAAAGAUUCACAUUUUGGGUUAAAUUUCUGAUGAUCACAUGUUGAAGGACAAUUGUGCAGCAUGGGUCAGAUGUGAAUGCUCUACAAAGACACAGAAGAAACCAAUUUUAUCUUUAAGAUUUAAAUUUGCUUAGAGAAAUUACCAUUAUGACAUAUUUUUUCCCUCUAUUCGCUCUCUCACUGCUUGCCUAAGUGCUUCAAACCUGAUUCUCUCCCAGUUGUAGAUAACAAUCACCAGGACCCCUGAACCUGAGUAUAAAACUCAUUUGGGCCAGAGCAGAGAAAGUAUGCAGCCUGAUUUUGAGAUUCUAGGUUGAGGUAGAAAUCCUGUCUGGAGUAAAAGUCUUGUGAACCUUUCCUUUAAAGAUGAUGACUUUCAAACUGAGAUUGCAUUCUUACCUAGGCACUCCUCUGAUGGGAAGUCUGCUUUAAUUUACUGCAACGAGAUAAUUCCUAAUCAGUUUAAGAGAAAAAAAAAACAAAGCAACAAAACAGAUCUUGCAGAAAAUGUUUUAAUGUCAGCAUGAGUCCUUUCCUUUAUGCAACUGUUCAUUUUAAUCCCAUCUUAAUAAAGACUGAUACAACUGUUUUAUAUAUAAAACU